rnacentral:tRNA from 1 species
AUUUAUCUAAUAUAAUAAUUAAAGUAUAUUUGACUUCCAAUCAAAAAGUUUGUAAAACAAGAUAAAUA